GUUAGAGCGCUUCAAAUGUACGAUUUUUCUCGUUUCAAAAACGCCAGAUAAACGUGUCUAUUCAUUUGGGCAAGAAAACCACAGGGGUGUUUACACAACACCUCAGAUCUGUCAGCAUCAUGUCAUUAUGCCUGGCUAUUCUCAGGAUAUGUUCCUGGCUUUGUAUAGUAAUGUGAGAGCUUUACAAUCAUUCUCGGCAAAGGUCAAGAAAGUACCUUCGAUUCUAUAUUAAAUAUUAUUUGUGUUGUAACGAGUCUAUAACCAUGCCCAGAAGAAGAAGGCAACAAUCAGCGAACGGGGGAAGCGAGUUCGGAACAAGUCCCCGACAAGUUGUUAUAGAGCAGAUGAGAGCACAUGGGUGAGUAGCUAAGCGUAAUUUACCCGAAUUCUUUGGUAUAUAUAGCUUCAUCAAUACCGUGAAAAAAAGUAAUUUUGGUAACACUUUGUAGUUCAACGUCAGCAUUACAAAUUCUUCUUUAUAUUUAGAUUUGACGGCGAAGUUUUUGCCGAAAACUUGGAGACAAGUACCUACCAACGCAAAAGACGCGGGAAACCAGCAAGGUUGAACCGGUAUUUUCACUAUUGCUCUUGGGCACACGCAUUGAUGGAAAAGAAUAUUGGCCCAGCAGGAGCAGAAUAUACGUUUCCGUCGAGUGUCUUGGCAUUUAUACGAGAUCUUGUACCAGGAAACGUAAAGGGUGAAUUUCGCGAGCAUGCUUACUUGGUUUCAAUGCAAGAGUUCUGCGAAGCAAUGGAAUUGCCAAGUUAUUAGCUGUGAUGUAAACCGUAGAGUGCAUUCAUUAUAUCCAUGAAACACUUUGCUAAUGAAAUUGUGCCAAUUUUUAAUUAGACCUUUUCCUUUGAUUGUUUACAAGUGCAAUUUUGUGCAAUUAUGUCAAUUAUUUGCAAGGUAUUUCACGUCUAUAAGAAAUUGACUCUAUUGCGGGAUGUUCAUAGUCAAAUAGAUGAAAAUCAUUGUAGUGUUUUUAGUGAAAGCGUGAAACACCAUUUACUAAAUUGUUCACAAUUGUCCUAGUUGAACAAUGGAAAACAAUAGAAUUAGGCUAAACUAGUUCAACAUAGCAUUACUAAUUUUUCACGCUUUUACUAAAUGCACUCUGUCAUAG